AAGCUUGGACGCCGUCGGGACGGCACAAAAACCAAAAAACUGUGGUUCGGAUGUGCCUUUUUCUUUGGGUUGGCCUCCGUUCCUUUCAAUGAUGCGCCCAGCGGGAGCCCUCUGCUGCCUCGAUUUCAGAGGAGAUUCAAGUGCACCGGGACAAUCCGUGGGUUACAAAAGGCGCAUCGCCCCUUCUUCUUCUUCUCGAGGAUCGCCCUUUAACUAGAGGCGUUUGAGAGGAAGGAACCAUUUCUUUUGUGCUUUCGAGAUGGCAUGGGAUAUGCCGGGCGCAAGAGGAAAAAAACAAACAUUGUGUUUUGUCGUACUGAUUGAAAAACCAAAACUUGACACGA
rnacentral:misc_RNA from 1 species